rnacentral:rRNA from 1 species
AGGACGAACGCUGGCGGCGUGCUUAAUACAUGCAAGUCGAACGAGAAGCCACCGCUCCGUAAGGAGAGGUGGUGGAAAGUGGCGAACGGGUGAGUAACACGUGGGCAACGUGCCCUGGACUCCGGAACAACAGUGGGAAACCGCUGCUAAUGCCGGAUAAACCUGCAGCGUCGCAUGACGCAACAGGCAAAGGUCCGCCGGUCCAGGAUCGGCCCGCGGUGUAUCAGCUUGUUGGUGGGGUAACGGCCCACCAAGGCUUUGACGCAUAGCUGGCGUGAGAGCGCGACCAGCCACACUGGGACUGAGACACGGCCCAGACUCCUACGGGAGCAGCAGUAGGGAAUCUUGCGCAAUGGGCGAAAGCCUGACGCAGCGACGCCGCGUGAGGGAUGAAUGCCUUCGGUUGUAACCUCUUUCAGCGAGGACGAAGCGUUACGGUGACGGUACCGUGCAGAAGAACGCCCGGACUAACUACGUGCCAGCACGCCGCGGUAA